CUAUUCCACUGCCGCCAACUAACACCACUAUGGGCGGAGCUCAACAGUUUAUGUCAAGAUACACCCCAAGGGCUGCUUCACGUUUGGGACGGAGAAUUGAACGAGAAAACCCGAUCAACUGUGCUGACGGCCAUCCUUUGGAAUAUUUGGAAGAGAUGCAACGCCAAGGUCUUUCGAAAUGAGCACCAAGGCCUCCACAUAAUUGCUCGCUCCGCAGCUGAUGAUCUCCGACUAUGGUCCCACCGAUGUAAAAAUCCCCAAAACCAGAUUCUGCUUCGGGAUUGGGGAUCCAUGUUGUUUCACCUAGCUGAGAGAUUAUGA
rnacentral:rRNA from 1 species